rnacentral:rRNA from 1 species
GUAGGGAAUCUUCCGCAAUGGACGAAAGUCUGACGGAGCAACGCCGCGUGAGUGAUGAAGGCUUUCGGGUCGUAAAACUCUGUUGUUAGGGAAGAACAAGUACGAGAGUAACUGCUCGUACCUUGACGGUACCUAACCAGAAAGCCACGGCUAACUACGUGCCAGCAGCCGCGGUAAUACGUAGGUGGCAAGCGUUAUCCGGAAUUAUUGGGCGUAAAGCGCGCGCAGGCGGUUUCUUAAGUCUGAUGUGAAAGCCCACGGCUCAACCGUGGAGGGUCAUUGGAAACUGGGGAACUUGAGUGCAGAAGAGAAAAGCGGAAUUCCACGUGUAGCGGUGAAAUGCGUAGAGAUGUGGAGGAACACCAGUGGCGAAGGCGGCUUUUUGGUCUGUAACUGACGCUGAGGCGCGAAAGCGUGGGGAGCAAACAGG